rnacentral:lncRNA from 10 species
UCUCUCUUGUGUGAAGCCUUCCCUGACACCCCUGAGAAUUUUCCAUCCACGUCACCACAGAGUAAUGUCCAUCCUCCUGUAGAACCAUUCACUCAUCACAGGGUAAUGAGGAAAAUGAGGCAGCCAGAUGGAGUCCCAGCAAAAGCAGACUUCAGGCAGAAGGAACGGCAAGUCCAGGGCUCUGGAUGAGCCAUGGUCUUCUCUGAUGAGGACUCCAUCCCUGUAAGAAAACUAAAGAGCUGGAGAGUGGAGAGGAAGGAGAGUGUGGGAUGUGAAUUCUAAGCUAUCAAAGAGGUUCAGAAGAUCAACAACAGGAGACAGAGGGACCCCUCUAGAGGCAGGAGGAAAG